rnacentral:rRNA from 1 species
CAGGGAAUCUUCGGCAAUGGACGAAAGACUGAUCGAGCAACGCCGCGUGAGUGAAGAAGGUUUUCGGAUCGUAAAACUCUGUUGUUAGAGAAGACCAAGGACGUUAGUAACUGAACGUCCCCUGACGGUAUCUAACCAGAAAGCCACGGCUAACUACGUGCCAGCAGCCGCGGUAAUACGGAGGUGGCAAGCGUUGUCCGGAUUUAUUGGGCGUAAAGCGAGCGCAGGCGGUUUCUUAUGUCUGAUGUGAAAGCCCCCGGCUCAACCGGGGAGGGUCAUUGGAAGCUGGGAGACUUGAGUGCAGAAGAGGGGAGUGGAAUUCCAUGUGUAGCGGUGAAAUGCGUAGAUAUAUGGAGGAACACCGGUGGCGAAGGCGGCUCUCUGGUCUGUAACUGACGCUGAGGCUCGAAAGCGUGGGGAGCAAACAGG